rnacentral:tRNA from 1 species
ACCUAGGUGGCUCAGUCAGUUGAGCACCUGACUUGGGCUCAGGUCACAAUCUCAUGGUUUGUGGGUUCGAGCCUUGCCGUGGGCU